rnacentral:rRNA from 1 species
AUUGAACGCUGGCGGCAGGCCUAACACAUGCAAGUCGAGCGAGCGGCGGAUGGGUGAGUAAUGUAUGGGGACUGCCCGAUAGAGGGGGAUAACUACUGGAAACGGUGGCUAAUACCGCAUACUAUCGGAUAACCCAUAUGGGAUUAGCUAGUAGGUGGGGUAAAGGCUCACCUAGGCGACGAUGUCUAGCUGGUCUGAGAGGAUGAUCAGCCACACUGGGACGGGGACACGGCCCAGAAUCCGAAGGAGGCAGCAGUGGGGAAUAUGGCACAAUGGGCGCAAGCGUGAUGCAGCCAGUCGGCGUGUAUGAAGAAGGCCUUAGGGUGGUAAAGUACUUUCAGCGUGGAGGCGUUACCCGCAGAAGAAGCACCGGCUAACUCCGUGCCAGCCGCCGCGGUAAUUC